AGAUGUUAAAGCCCGAUUUCGGCUCGGGACAAGGCAAUAACUAGCCCAUCUU
rnacentral:tRNA from 1 species